CCACCCAACGGUCCGAAUCUAAUGAACGCGAAUGGUCACUCUCUAAUCUCGGUGGUCAAUCACGAAUCUCACGGCCCGAGGUCGUCUUGCACCUCUGCCUCAUGGCCGCGGCAGAGCGCGCCCCGCACGACGGCGCUACACGCUGGUGAACGCCAACUCUGUGGUUCCGAGCCACGGCUUAUGAACAUUUACUCGCUACGCAAAGAUGGCACCACGACAAACCGUACUGUGGAACAAGUGUCCAAUUUUGCAUCGCGACGAGCUCUGUCCCCCGAGCUAUGCGGUCCGCGGCGAUGCUACGCACCACGGCAAGCAAUUACCAGCGCAGCGGUGCCCAAAAUCUCACAUCAAUCGGUGUGAUAUGAAGCGAUUACCAAUACGAAACGGCAAGGGCACAUACACCUUCAUUUGACGUGCAGAACUCCUCUGUCCACGAUAGGGGUGUGAUUCGGCGAUGGUGGUCUCCCAACGGUGAGAAUCUACGGGUUCCUCAACGACAGCCUCCCCGACGCGUCCGUGAGUGACUUCACCAUGCUCCCGCGGUGCUCCUCGACUUGAUUCCGGAUCACCGACGGUGCUGGCGGCUCGCCUACGGUGUGGCGGCUCCGAUCUCUUUUGCACGGUGAUGGCGGCUCACGAGUUGUACAUGGAUGGUCACGCAGAUGAGCCCUAGGAGGAAUUUUAUGUACCCGGCAGGAGAGCCUCAGGUGGUUGAGGUUGUUAUUCCUAGCCCGAUCCUAGCUAUCGCCGCGCGUACAUCGCCAUGGUCGACACCCGGUUUGUUGCGGAUGAGGGGGACGCUGACGUGGUGGGACCCGGAGGUAAGUAGCAGGACCAGUGAAUGGGCAUGAUCGGCUGUGAGGAUGACAACGGGGCCCACAAUUCAGCCACGGGAUGGUCGCGCACAUGGAGAGACGUGGGCGCGGGGAGAGGCUGACGGGCUGGGUCUGGUGGAGCGGAAUGAAUAUUGGGCCAAACGGGUGGCUUUCGCCCCAGGCGGUUUAUCCUUUACUUUUUCCUUUUUCAAUUUGUUUCUAUUUCCUAUUCAUCUUUUCUAUCAAGGUUUAGAAUUCAGAUUUAAAUAUGAUGUGACAUCCGAAUUCAAAUCAAAUGCAACAAGGAAUACCAACAUGGUGCAGAUUUACUUUAUUUUUUAAUUAUUAGUUUCUUUAAUCAAGCCUAAUAUUUUGUUAUGCAUAAAGAAAGAAGAAUAAUAAUACUAAUAAUAAUCAUAAUCAUAAUCAUCAUAAUUAUCAUCAUCAUCAUAAUUAUCAUCAUCAUCACAUAGACCUUUAUAAUUCUCAAGACUUAUUUCUUUUACUUCCAAAAGUUUGGGUAUUACAGUGGAGGAUGGGGUGUCGUGAAGGGGGCGGGGGACACCAAGAAGGGGUGGGUGUAACGCCCCGAAUUUCAGAGUUGAAUUUUUUUUCUUUCUCCAUCACUCGCCAAAUUCGGGCGUUACCUUUCCUCUUUCUUUUUCUUCUCGCUAAGCCUUGUACAUUUUCAAAGUUCUAGCGAGAUUUAGCUCGAGACCUUGUGUGAGUAAACCCUAGAAAUAUUUUCCUUGGUUGUUGCAUCAUGCUGGACCAUGAUUUUCUUGCUUGUGGUUGAGUGAUUUGUGAAGAGUAUUCUUGGAGUGGAGGUUAGAACUAAAUAGGGAAAAUGGAUAAUAGGUAAAUAAUAAGAAAAUAGAAAAGGAAAAUCUCUCCCUCUCUCCUUUCAACCCAGCCGCGGCCUACUUCCCUCCCCCCUGCGACCCGGCCUAGCGCGCGACCUACCCCCCCCCCCCCACUUUCCCUUGGGCCGGCUGGCUGGCGCGACCCAGCUCGGUGGCCCAACCGGCUCCCCCACGUUCCUCGCGCGCGGGUGGUUACAGCCGCCACCGCCGCUCUAGUGGGGCCCACCCAUCAUUGCCUAGUCGCCCCCUGUUCAUCUCCCUUCUCCCUCCCACGUCGCCCAGUGCCUUCUCACUCCUCCACCUCGCCCACGCCGCUCGGAACCACCGCCAUCGCGCCCGUAUGCGCCGUCGUCGCUCCCUGAGGUGAGCUCGCCCCGUCUUCCCUUCCCCAUCCCCCUCCUCCCUGUGCCCGCGGCACGGCUUGGAGCUCGGCCCGGCGCGCGGCCCCCGCUCUAGCUCAAAACUUAAAGCCACAAAACUUGAUUAAGUAUUAGCACAAUUAAAUCAAGUGACUAAGGAGAGCUCUUGUGAAACACAAUUGACACAGUGAGAACAAGCACAAGAGACACAAGGAUUUAUCCCAUGGUUCGGCCAAGUAUAACACUUGCCUAGUCCACGUUGUGGCGUCCCAAUGGACGAGAGUUGCACUCAACUCCUCUCAAGUGAUCCAAUGAUCAACUUGAAUACCACAGUGUUCUUCUUUCUUUAAUCUUUCCCGUUUGCAAGGAAUCUCCACAACUUGGAGUCUCUUGCCCUUACAAUAAGAAUCAAGGUGAAAGCACUAGAGUAAGGGAGGGAAGCAACACACUCAAAUCCACAGCAAAUACGCACACACACAGCCAAGAAUUGAGCUCAAAUGAGUAUCACAAAGUUCACCACUAGAACGGAGCUCAAAUCACUAAGAAUGUUCGAGUGCGCAAAGUCGGAGUGAGAAUGAUCAAGAAUGCUCAAAGUAUGCUUGGUGUACUCCUCCAUGCGCCUAGGGGUCCCUUUUAUAGCCCCAAGGCAGCUAGGAGCCGUUGAGAGCAAUCCAGGAAGGCUAUCCUUGCCUUCUGUCGGUUGGUGCACCGGACAGUCCGGUGCACCACCGGACACUGUCCGGUGCUGAUUUGUUUCCUGUUCUGGUGCAGCCGACCGUUGAAGUUUUGGAGCCGUUGGCGCACCAGACACUGUCCGGUGCUCCCAUCAGACCGUUGGCUCGGCCACGCGUCACGCGCGGAUUGCGCAGCCGACCGUUGGCAUGGCCGAUCGUUGGCUCACCGGACAGUCCGGUGCACCACCGGACAGUCCGGUGAUUUAUAGCCGUAUGCCGCCGUUCAGUUCCCGAGAAUGGCCAGUUGAUCAGCGCCAGCCUGGCGCACCGGACACUGUCCGGUGCACCACCGGACAGUCCGGUGCACCCAGACUGAGCAGAGUCUUGGCUGCUUCAGCCAAGACAUUUUCCUUUUGUCUUUUCUCUGAUUCUAGCACUUAGACAAAUAUGUUAGUGCACAAAAACCAAUUUACUAAGUCUAGAAUCAUACCUUUGUAUUGAUUUGCACUUUGUCCACCAUUUGGCAUAGUUUAACACAUAACCAUUUGUGUUGGCACUUAAUCACCAAAAUCCUUAGAAAUGGCCCAAGGGCACAUUUCCCUUUCAUGGCCCCUGCCCCGGUUCGGCGCUCGCGUGGCCCCCUGCCCUGGCCGACACGGCCCUCUGGCCGAUGCGGAUGGCCCGGCGCGGCCCUCCCUUUCAUCCCUCGUGCCCCCGGCGUGGCGCGCUCGCUGCUCGCGUCUGUGGCGCGGCCCCGGCGUGGCACGCUCGCGACUCCUGCGCGGCGUGGAGCGCCCCUGGCGUCCCAGCUCGCCCGCGGCGCUCUCGCGGUAGCCUGCGCGGCUUGCUCGCCGUGGCCUGCAUGGCGCAUGGCCAGCCCGUCCGCGGCGUGCUCGCUGCUGCGGCCCGCGGCCUCCUUGCGGCGUCCUGCGCAGCGCGCGCGGCUAGCCCGUCCCCGGCUCGCCUGCAACGGCCUGCGUGGAGCAUGGCCAACUCGUUCGCGCGGCCGAGCCCUCCAUGGUCUACUCGGCUAGGAGAGGACGAGUCCACUAUUUUAUCAUCUUUCAUUAGUUUAUUUGUUAGACUCGUAAAAAGGAACCCCAAUGAACCACGUAAAGAAAUUUAGGAUGUUUACAAGCCUCGGCGAUCUCAUUUACUAGCCAUGUAGUCUAUGUCUGAUGGUUACAUACUUCUUCAUGCGUCAUUAACCGAUUUCGGUUUACUCCUGUCAUGAUAGGUUUAUGAUAAAUUGACAAUAUCAUUCACAUACUAGUAGUAUAGCUUAUCGCAGUAUAUGCUUUCGAUAAUUAUUCAAUUAAUUGUUGAUCCAAUAAUUAAUAAAGUAGUGCUUAGGCGAGGAUUAGUUUACAAUCUGAAGCUACGCUAGGUGAGUAUACGUGAGUGUAAAUAGACCAUUUCGGGUGUUUAUGUUUAAUAUUCGUUAGAUAUAAAUGUGUUGUCAAGUUAGUAAUUCUUGCGAGUCGCCUGUGCUGUUUCGCGGACGCUAGUUUCGCAUGGUCGUAAGCGCGAGCUUUAUGUCAUGUGCGCGUGUAACUGAUUUGUUUCCUUAUAUGGUGUAUUGUUCCUUUUCUGAUUUAAGAUGUGAAUGUAUGUUUGCACUCGCAUAGAGAACGUUCUGGUUGAGGAGUUCGAAGAACUCGCAGGAGAAGAUCCUGAGCAGCAGCUGGUUGGUGGAUGCAAGUGUCCCUUGACCCACUUGUGUCCUAUAUAUUCCUUAAUUCACUUUCCACAUUUACACAGUUUAUACCUAAGGAUUGACUAGCUUUUGUUAUCCAUGUCCUUGCUUACCUAUCUAGGUCAGAUUAUUUUGGUUUAGCUACAUGCUAGCGCUUCACAUUAAUCAAUGAACAUGAUGAGAUUUAUCUAUGAUAAGUUGUUUUCCUUCUUAUUUAUGAUGAUAUACUUGUGGCAUUUAAGGUGACUCGAGCGGUUUCUCGAGUGCCUCUCCGUAAGGACCUGUUCGUUGGAUGACCGCCCGGGAAAACAAUGCAACCAUGAGGGUAGAAUGGGACGCCCUUAGCUGAAUAAUUAGAGAAACCGGGGUGUAGUUCGCUUAGCUGUCGUGCCGUUAAUGGGGCUCGAUGUAUGCGGCUCGCUCUACCAAGGUUGGUUCGCCCCUUGGGGAGGAGUGCGGUGCAUUUAGGAAACCUAACGGGCGGCUACAGCCUCGGGAAAUCUUUGUAAAGGCUACGUAGUGAUACCCUGCUGGGUCACCUUGGUAGUGAUCAAUGGAGAGUCAUGAUCUCCGGGCCGAAAGGGAAUCACGGCUUGUGGGUAAAGUGUGCAACCUCUGCAGAGUGUUUGAAAACUGAUAUAUCAGUCGUGCUCGCGGUUAUGAGCGGUCAAGGGAGCUCCAUUGAUUAGUGAUACUUGAUCAGAGGUGUUCGGAUUACAAGUGGUGAUGAGAAUGAUGGUUUUGGUAUUGACCAUGGUAAUGGUAAGUGGUAUUCUUUCCGUUUGGAAAGGGUACUUUUGGGUUAACAACUUGGGUUAAUACUAAAAUCUGGCUCUCUGUACUAGUAAUAAUAAUCUGACCAACUAAAAGCAACUCCUUGACUUACCUCCACAUAAAGCUAGUCCACUACAGCCAAACAGGACACUUGCUGAGUAUGUUGAUGUGUACUCACCCUUGCUCUACACACCAAACCCCCCCUUCCCCAGGUUGUCUGCGUUGCAACCACUGCUCAGGAGAAGAUGAAGCUGUGGAAGGAGACUUACAGGAGUUCCAAGAUUACGACGAGUUUAUGCGUGGGUUAGCGGCAACCCCCAGUCGGCUGCCUGUAAAGGCCGCGUGUAUCUACGUUUCAUUUUUCGCACUUUGAUUAUUGUAAAGAUGUCGGGUACCGUAAUUAUGGGUACCCCCAACACUCCUAAACACGGCUGGUAACCACCAUCAGCACAAGCUGCAGAGACUGAUGGGCACGAUUCAGGUCAAGGCUUCGUCUACUCAAGGGACGCGAUCUCGCCUCGCCCGAGCCCAGCCUCGGGUGGGAACAGUAGUCCCGGACGAAUUCUCGCCUCGCCCGAGGGCCUCCUCAAAGCAACUGGCGCACCCUCGACUCGCCCGACGUCCGGCUCGAGCAGGCUUCGUAGUGAAGCAACCUUGGCCAAAUCGCCUCACCAACCGACUGUAUCGCAGGCGCAUUCAAUGCGAGGAUCGCCUGACGCCUUAUCCUGACACACGUGCCUCAGUCGGCAAGGUCGAAGUGACCGCAGUCACUUCGCCCUUCCACUGACCGACCUGACAGGAAAACAGCGUCGCUCGCCCCGCUCCGACUGUUGUGCCACCCGCCAGAGUGAGGCUGGCAACAGCCAAGUUCAGCCUCAGGCGCAACAGGAAGCUCCGCCUUGCCCGACCCCAGGGCUUGGCCUCAACCUCGGCCUCGGAAGGAGGACUCCGCCUUGCCCGACCCUAGGGCUCAGCCUCAACCUCGGCCUCGGAAGGAGGACUCCGCCUCGCUCGACCCCAGGGCUCGGCCUCAGCCUCGGCCUCAGAGGGUGGUCUCCGCCUCGCCCGACCCCAGGGCUCGGUCUCAACCUCGACCUCGGGAGGAAUCGCGUCCUCGCCCGACCCUGACCUCGGCCUCAGGAGGAGUCUCCGCCUCGCCCGACCUUGGGCUCGGACCGACCACGCCACGGAGGAUACAUCAUUACCCUACCCCUACCUAGCUCAGGCUAUGGGGGAACAAGACCGGCGUCCCAUCCAGACUCGCCCCGGUAACAAGUAAUGAUGGCUCCCCGCGUGCGUCCAUGACGACGGUGGUUCUCAGCCCCCUACGGAAGCAAGGAGACGUCAGCAAGGUCCCAGCAGCCCCGACAGCUGUGCUUCUACAGGGCUCAAGCACUCCUCCGACGGCCACGACACCGCGUACACAGGGCUCUAGCACCUCUCCGACAACCACGUUGGCAUGUACACAGGGCCCAGGCACCUCUCUGCCGGACACGUUAGCGCAUAGCUACACCCCCAUUGUACACCUGGACCCUCUCCUUGCAUCUAUAAAAGGAAGGUCCAGGGCCCUCAUGCGGGAGGGUCGCGCGGGAGGACGGGCUGACGAACAAGCUCACUCUCUCUCCCUCGCGAAUGCUUGUAACCCCUAUUGCAAGCGCAUCCCCCUGGCGCAGGAUAACACGAGCCGCGUUCCCCUCCCCCUUGUGUUCCAUCUCGCGCCAACCCAUCUGGGCUAGGACACGCAGCGACAAUUUUACUCGUCGGUCCAGGGACCCCCCGGGGUCGAAACGCCGACAGUUGGCGCGCCAGGUAGGGGCCUGCUGCGUGUUGACGAACAACUUCCCGUUGAGUUCCAGAUGGGUAGUCUCCAGCAACCUCUUCAGCCCGGGACGCUGCUCCGCUUCGGGAGCCUCGAGUUCAUGUCCCAGUCCCUGCGGGGGGUCAGGACACACAGCUCAAGAAAAUUCGCGAGAUGCAGGCCAAGCUCGACGAGGAAGCAGGGCAACUUGUGCAGCUCUGGCAAAACAUCGAGCAGGAGUGGGCAGGCCGAGCACUCGCCGGAGAAGCGCGUCAUCAGGCCCGGGAAGUCCAGCAUCGUAUCGCUGACGAUGCCAGGGCAAGGCUGCCCCCGGCUUCCAGUGUGGUCGGCCAGAAUCUGGCUGUAGCGGCAAUACUGCUCCGAGCGAUGCCGGAGCCGUCCACCACCGAGGGGCAGCAUAUCCAAGGAGAACUCAAGAAUCUCCUGGAGGACGCCGUGGUCCGACGGGCCAAGAGCUCUCCUCCCGAAGGCAAGGGUGCCCCCCAGAGCAUCGUGCAGCAACUUCCUGAUUCAUGCGGGAGGCCUCGGUCCACACCGGGCGCACGCGGGACGCAACGCCUGCGGCCCCGGGUUGCCUCGACAAUGAGCACCACCGCCGCGACCGUCGAGCCCGCCUCGACGAGAAGGUGCACCGAGGCUACCACCCCAGGCGUGGGGGACGUUACGACAGCGAGGAGGAUCAGAGCCCCUCGCCCGAACCACCUGGUCUGCAAGCCUUCAGCCGGGCCAUACGACGGGCGCCGUUCCCGACCCGGUUCCGAGCCCCGACUACUAUCACCAAGUACUCGGGGGAAACAAGGCUGGAACUAUGGCUUGCGGACUACCGGCUAGCCUGCCAGCUAGGUGGAACGGACGAUGACAACCUCAUCAUCCGCAACCUCCCCUGUUCCUCUCCGACGCCGCCCGAGCCUGGCUGGAGCAUCUGCCUCCUGCGCAGAUCUCCAACUGGGACGACCUGGUCAAAGCCUUCGCUGGAAACUUCCAGGGCACGUACGUGCGCCCUGGGAACUCCUGGGAUCUCCGAAGCUGCCGCUAGCAACCAGGGGAAUCCCUGCGAGAGUACAUCCGGCGGUUUUCGAAGCAGCGCACCGAGCUGCCCAACAUCACCGACUCGGAUGUCAUCGGGGCGUUCCUCGCCGGCACCACUUGUCGCGACCUGGUGAGCAAACUGGGUCGCAAGACCCCCACCAAGGCGAGCGAGUUGAUGGACAUCUCCACCAAGUUCGCCUCUGGUCAGGAGGCGGUUGAAGCCAUCUUCCGGAAGGACAAGCAGCCUCAGGGACGCCAGUAGGAAGACGUCCUCGAGGCGUCCGCCCAACGCAGCACGAAGAAGAAGGCCAAGAAGAAGUCGCAAGCAAAGCGCGACGCCGCCGAUGCAGAUCUUGUCGUUGCCACCGAGCGCAGGAACCCUCAGAAGCCUCCUAGAGGGGCCAGCCUGUUCGACAAGAUGCUCAAGGAGUCGUGCCCCUAUCACCAGGGCCCCGUCAAGCACACCCUUGAGGAAUGCGUCAUGCUUCGGCGCUACUUCCAUAAGGCCGGGCCCCCGGCGGAAGGUCGCAAAGGCCAAGGCAACGACAAGAAGGAGGGCGACAAGGCAGAGGAGUUCCCCGAGGUCCACGGUUGUUUCAUGAUCUACGGUGGGCGAGUGGCGAACGCCUUGGCUCGGUACCGCAAGCAGGAGCACCGGGAGGUCUGCUCGGUAAAGGUGGUGGCGCCAGUCUACCUAGACUGGUCCAACAAGCCCAUCACCUUCGACCAAGGCAACCACCCCGACUGCGUGCCGAGCCCAGGAAAGUACCCGCUCGUUGUCGACCCCGUCAUCGGCAACGUCAGGCUCACCAAGGUCCUCAUGGACGGAGGCAGCAGCCUCAACAUCAUCUAUGUCAAGACCCUCGGGCUCUUGGAAAUCGAUCUAUCCACGAUCCGGGCCGGUGCGGCGCCCUUUCACGGGAUCAUCCCCGGGAAGCGCGUCCAGCCCCUUGGACAACUCGAUCUGCCCAUCUGCUUCGGAACUCCCUCCAACUUCCGCAGGGAAACCCUCACGUUCGAGGUGGUCAGGUUCCGAGGAACCUACCACGCGGUGCUAGGGAGAUCAUGCUACGCCAAGUUCAUGGUUGUCCCCAACUACACCUACCCCAAGCUCAAGAUGUCGGGCCCCAACGGGGUCAUCACCGUCGGAUCCACAUACCGACACGCGUACAAAUGCGACGUGGAGUGCGUGGAUUACGCUGAGGCCCUCGCCGAGUCUGAGGCCCUCAUCGCCGACCUGGAGUGCCUCUCCAAGGAGGUGCCUGAUGCAAAGCGCCACGCCGGCAACUUUGAGCCAGCUGAGGCGGUUAAGUCCGUCCCUCUCGACCCCAGCAAUGACGCCUACAGGCAAGUCCGGAUCGGCUCCAAGCUCGACCCCAAAUAGGAAGCAGUGCUCGUCGACUUGCUCCGCGUAAACACCAAAGUUUUUGCGUGGAGUCCCUCGGACAUGCCUGGCAUACCGAGGGAUGUCGUCGAGCACUCGCUGGAUAUCUGAGCUGGAGCCCGACCCGUGAAGCAGCCUCUGGGCCGUUUCGACGAAGAAAAAGCAGAGCCAUAGGCGAGGAGAUCCACAAGCUGAUGGCUGCAGGGUUCAUCAAAGAGGUAUUCCAUCCUGAAUGGUUAGCCAACCCUGUGCUUGUGAAAAAGAAAGGUGGGAAAUGGAGGAUGUGUGUAGACUACACUGGUCUAAACAAAGUAUGUCCGAAGGUUCCCUACCCUCUGCCUCGCAUCGAUCAAAUUGUGGAUUCCACUGCUGGGUGCGAAACCUUGUCAUUCCUCGACGCCUACUCAGGGUAUCACCAAAUCAAGAUGAAAGAGUCCGACCAGCUCGUGACUUCUUUCAUCACACCUUUUGGCAUGUACUGUUAUACUACUAUGCCAUUUGGCUUGAGGAAUGCAGGUGCGACAUACCAAAGGUGCAUGAACCACGUGUUCGGAGAGCACAUCAGCCGAACGGUCGAGGCUUACGUCGAUGACAUCGUAGUCAAGACGAGGAAAGCCUUUGACCUUGAAACGACGUUCAAGUGUCUGAGAGCGAAGGGCGUGAAGCUCAACCCCGAGAAGUGUGUCUUCGGAGUCCCCUGAGGCAUGCUCCUGGGGUUCAUCGUCUCCGAGCGGGGCAUCGAGACCAACCCGGAGAAAAUCGCGGCCAUCACCAACAUGGGGCCUAUCAAAGAUUUGAAAGGAGCACAUAGGGUCAUGGGAUGCCUUGUGGCUCUGAGCCGCUUCAUCUCGCGCUUCGGUGAAAAAGGCCUACCCUUGUACCGCCUCUUAAGGAAGACCGAGCACUUCACUUGGACCCCCGAGGCCGAGGAAGCCCUCGGAAACUUAAAGGCACUCCUUACAAACGCGCCCAUCUUGGUGCCCCCCGCCGCGGGAGAAGCCCUCUUGAUCUACGUAGCCGCAACCACUCAGGUGGUCAGCGCCGCGAUCGUAGUCGAGAGACAAGAAGAAGGGCAUGCACUGCUCGUCCAGAAGUCGGUCUACUUCAUCAGUGAAGUGCUAUUCGGGACCAAGAUCCGCUACCCGCAAAUUCAGAAGCUACUGUACGCAGUAAUUCUGACCCGGCAAAAGUUGCGACACUACUUCGAGUCUCAUCCGGUGACUGUGGUGUCAUCCUUCCCCCUGGGGGAGAUCAUCCAGUGCCAAGAGGCCUCGGGUAGGAUAGCAAAGUGGGCGGUGGAGAUCAUGGGCGAGACAAUCUCGUUCGCUCCUCGGAAGGCCAUCAAGUCCCAAGUCUUGGCGUACUUCGUGGCUGAAUGGGUCGACACCCAGCUACCAACAGCUUCGAUCCAACCGGAACUCUGGACCAUGUACUUCGAUGGGUCGUUGAUGAAAACAGGAGCCGACGCGGGCUUGCUCUUCAUCUCACCCCUUGGGAAACAUCUCCGCUACGUGUUGUGCCUCCAUUUCCUGGCGUCAAACAACAUGGCCGAGUACGAGGCUCUGGUUAACGGGUUGUGCAUCGCCAUUGAGCUAGGGGUUCGGCGCCUCGACGCUCGUGGCGACUCGCAGCUUGUCAUUGACCAAGUCAUGAAGAACUCCCACUGCCGCGACCGGAAGAUGGAGGCCUACUGCGAUGAAGUUCGGCGCCUGGAAGACAAGUUCUACGGGCUCGAGCUCAACCACGUCGCUCGACGGUACAACGAGACUGCGGAUGAGCUGGCUAAAAUAGCCUCGGGGUGGACAACGGUUCCCCCGGACGUCUUCUCCAGAGACAUACAUCAACCCUCCGCCAAGACCGAUGUAAGGAAAAUGGACCCCGGGCCAUUCGGUUAAUUGAGUUUUGGUGUUUGAUGAACAACACAAUCCGUGAACUAAUAAGUUUUCUAGUGUUUGUGUUUAUAGUUCACAGGAUGCGAAGAGAAUUGGACCAAGGCAAUGAGGAUGCAACACCUCAAAAGAAGACAUAAAAAGAUACAUAGGAGUCCAAUACUCAAAGAACAAAGAAGCCCGAAGAAAUCAGCGAAGAAAUCCAAGAUGAGGGCUGUCAGCCAGCGCCUGGUGGCGCACCGGACAUUGGUGUCCAGUGUGCACCGGACUGUCCGGUGAGGCACCGGACAGUCUGCACAGAGAGGCCGCAGACAGGCGCUCUCUGGCUGUAGCACCGGACUGUCCGGUGUGCACCGGACUGUCCGGUGUGCCAACGGGCAGACGGCAACGGUCGGAUCCAACGGUCGACUGCUACAGGCGCCAACGGUCGGCUGACGUGGCGUGCACCGGACAUCUACUGUGCAGUGUCCGGUGGUGCACCGGACUGUCCGGUGCACCCGACGAUAGAAAGCUGCUGCUUUCUGUCCAACGGCUAGUUGGGGGUGUGGAGGCUAUAAAUACCACCCCAACCGGCCAUUCUCAUGUGUGGGAGCCCAAGCAACAUACCAAGGCAUAUAGUCCACAUUUCCAAGAGCUCAAACACCCAAGUGCUUAAUAGAAUCACUCGGUGAUUAGCGUAGGUGCUUUGCGAAGUGCUUAGGUUAGUUAGACCGCUUUAGCGCUUGCUCUAGGUGAACCCUAGUUAGUUGAGUGAGUUUUGUAAAACCACACAACCCCUCGGCUCUUGCGUGAGUCGUUGUAAUUGUACCGAGUGGGGCGAGAGUCUUGCGAGACCGUGACAACCGCGUUUGUGUCACGGCCGCCACCGUGUACCGGAGGGAACGAGGCCCGCGGCGUUUCGGCCGGAAGCUCGAUAGUGGAGACGGCGGGGAGCGUCCGAGAGGAGCCGGAAGCGGAGCACCACUUGCGCGUGGAGAAGGCCCGUGGCUCUCUAUGGAGUUACUCGACCGUGGUGCUUGGCCCUCGCGUGGGCUUCCCUUUGCGUAGGGGCACCAACGAGGAUUAGUCGGAACCUUGCGUGGUUCCGGAUACCUCGGUAAAAAUACCGGCGUCAUCCACGAGAGUUUGCUUCUCUACUUAGCUCUUUACAUUCCGCAUUUAUAUUAAGCAUUUAAGUUUCAAUCUUAUUGUCAUACUUAUUUAGUGUAGAUUGAAACUUAGCCUUUGCGGUAGAGAUAGCAACACUUAGACAAAACCUAGUUUGCACACUCUAGUUUGAUUACUUGCAAAGGUUUUGCUCUAGGGAUUUAAUUGUGGCCUAGUUUAGUAAAAGUUUUGGAAGUCCUAAUUCACCCCCCCCCUCUUAGGCGUCACCCGUUUCCUACAAGUGGUAUCAAGGCCCGGUUUGGCUCAUUUGAAACGCUUUAGCUUCACCGCUAAAAGAGCCGACGCUUUUUAGAGGAAGGGAUGGAUACCCAUAGGCCACCACACUUUGACGGCACUAACUUCCCAUAUUAUAGUGCUAGAAUGGCUUGUUACCUAGAGGGCGUUGAUCUAGGUGUUUGGAGAGUCACUCGUGACGGGAUGAAACCCCUCAAGAAUCCUGAGAAACCCACCACGAGUGAGGAAAAAGAAAUCCAUUUAAAUGCUAGAGCCAAAAAUUGCUUGUAUGAAUCUCUUAGCAUGGAUAUUUUCAAUCAAGUAUUUACUCUGAAAACUGCUAAUGAGAUUUGGCUAAAAUUGCAUGAGCUCCAUGACGGCACAUCCAAUGUCCGUGAGCAAAAACAUUGCCUAGUCUUAAAUGAGUAUAAUUCUUUUGCUAUGAAAGAUGAUGAGCUUGUUAGAGACAUGUAUUCUCGUUUGAAUCUAAUUAUCAAUGAGCUCAAUUCGAUUGGCAUUAAUAAGCUAGGUGAUGCGGACAUUGUGAGGAAGAUUAUCUCCCUGCUACCACAACAAAGAUAUGGGAGCAUCAUCACCAUCCUUCACAACAUGGAGGACUUGAGCAACAUGACCCCGACCAUCGUGAUUGGGAAAAUCGCGGCUUUUGAGAUGUCGCGAAAAAUGAGUCGGGGAGAGGAGCCAACUUCCUCAAAGCCAUAUGCUUUUGCAUGUGAUGAAAGGAAGGGCAAAAAGAAGGCUCCCACUCCAAGUUCCUCAAGUGAAGAAGAAGAAGAAGAAGAAAGUGAUGAUGAUGAAGAUAAUCAACCAUGCACAUCAUCCUCCGAGGACGAAGAAACAAUCCGACGCGUCGGAAAGGUAAUGAGGAUGAUUCGCAAGAUUAAUCUAAUGGGUGUGCCCCUGCAGGUCGAGGAUCUUCUCUUUAACAUUGACAGGAAAAAGCAAAGGAAGAGAGGAUGCUUCGCAUGUGGGGAGAAGGGCCACUUCAGGGACAACUGUCCAAAUAUGGCCAAACCCAAAAAGGAGAGGAGCAAAGGCAAGGCGCUCACAAGUGUUAGAACUUGGGAUGACUCUUCAAGUGAAGAUGAACCUCCAAGGACGCGCAGCCACCGGUCCUCGUCACGAUCAUCACGGUCAUCACACAAAUGCCUUAUGGCAAGAGGUAACAAAAGCAUUCCAUCCUCUAGUGAUGAAAGCAGUAGUGAUGAUGAAGGUGAGGGAAAGGCCUCUCUAGAAGAGCUUGCGGAAGCCGUAAAUUUUUUCUAGGAUGUUUGCACUAAGCAAAAAGCUCAACUUAAAACUUUGAAAAAUAAGUUGAUUAGCUCUCAAAAUGAUUACAAAGGCUUGCUAGAAAAAUUUGAAACUUUUGCAAACUUAAAUAGUGAGCUAUCAACUAAAAUUGAGCUAUUAGAGUCUAGUGCUUCAUCCACUGCUACCGAUGAUAGCCUUAUUAAAAAGAAUGAAAAACUUAAGGCUAAGUUAGCUAGCUCCCAAGAAGCUAUUGAAAAUUUGCUAGAGAAAAUGGAAAUUCUUAGCAUACACAAUAAUGAGCUAACUACUAAGCUAGAAAACAUUGGUAGCACCCCAGCAGCAUCUUUAGUUGAAAUACCUGAAAUAAUUAAGAAAGAUGCUUCUACUUCCUGCUUUGAUUUAAUUGAUGAUUCUAACCCCUGCAACCAAGUCGUUGUUGAGAAUAUUGUUAUAGAGACAUGUUCGGAUGAGGUUGCAAAGGAAAAUGAACAAUUAAAGCAAGAAGUGGCUCGCCUUGGCAAGGCUUUGUAUGACAAGAAAGGCAAAGCCAAACAAAUCCGACCUCCACAGGAUAACACCACUGCGGGAGUGAACAAGUCUAUGGAGGGAGAAACUGUGAUUUGUAGGCUAUGCCACAAGGAAGGCCACAAGUCUUUCCAAUGCAAGGCGAUGACCGGGGAUAAACAAAGGCAAAAGCUCAAGCAAAAGCCAUCAGGCAAAAUCACCAACACCUACAUCAAAAAGGUGAACAAAAAGGAUGCUACACCAUAUUUGAUCAAGAAGAAAAAGAACGGAAAGGUGAUAGCAAUCAAGGCCAACAAGCAAGCCAACAAAGGAAAGGGGGCCAAACGCAUCUGGGUGCCAAAGGAGAUAAUUUCAACCAUGAAAAGCACCAAGAAGGUUUGGAUCCCAAAAGGGAAGUGAGUGGACCUAAGGUCGUCGGGAAAUUUGGAGACUUGGCAAAAUUGGGAUGUAUAUCAUGGGAUACAUCAUAUUGGAUCAAGUUUAUUGCCAAGUGGGUUAGUAAAAAUUUUGGACCCAAAUUUCCCACCCAUGACUAAGGUAACUAGUUUUAUUAUAUUUCUCGUUUUUAGAUAUGCGUAUCUAUUUAUCUUUUAUCUAGUUUACCUUUCUUGCCUAGUAUUACAUUUGUUAUGUACUUUUGUUCAAAAUCAUGCAUACUAGGUAAAUCAUAUGGUAGGAUUGCUAGUUUUUAAAUUCAUAUACUUAAGCAAACCUACAUGGCUUAAAAUGUUUAGUUAAAGCACGGCACAUAGCUUUUAUAUCACUCCAUAGUAAAUGAUGCAUCAAUUGAAAAUUUUGAUUUCUACAAAGUGUAUCAUUUAACUUAUAUGUGCCAAAGUUUGGAUUAUGGAUAAUUUGCCCCUCUUGAUAUCAAAUCAAAGUGCAUGUCUCCUACAAGUAUUCAAAACUUAUAUGCACACCUUUAGGGGGAGGUUACUCUAUAAUCUAACACUUUGAGACUAACACCUUUUCAAGUCUAUUUCAUGUGAUAGUCUCAUUGUAAGGAAAAUAAGGUCCCCGGAGAAAGACAACAAUCUUCCACUGCAAAAUCUCCAAGAACUCUCAUGUCUCUCAAGCUCGCCAUUGAUCUUCAAUUGGUAUCUUUUGAGACUACAUUCAAUAUCAUUUACAUGUCUUCUCCAAUAUUUGAUUAGACUAUAUUUCAUAUCAUAUGCUUCCAUGUUGCUAAAAAUGCAUAAGUAGUUAACUCAUAUUCUGUUACCUAUGCAUAAGGGAAGUUAGUCUUUUCAAAUCAUGUCUUGCACCUCUAAUUUUCACAUGCUUUUUCCUAAGUAGAGGAUCUCUGUCAAGGGGAGUAUUUCUUCAUCUCUAAAGGGGGAGAAAAACUCUUUCUAAAGGAGACAACUCAUUUAGGGGGAGUAAUCUUUUGAGGACUCCUUCAAGUGGUAUCAUUCACAUAGUUUAAUUUAAUAUCCUUCUAGUGAUAUCAUUUGAUACAAUUCUUGAUGAGGGCAAGCUUUUAUUUACUUCCUACAUGCUUUUAAUGUCUUCCUUUUCGGUGGUUGAUGCCAAAGGGGGAGAAGUUUAGGGACCAAAGCAAUGAAAACUAUAUCAAACACCAAACACCACCAAUUUAAAAUUUUAUAUCUACAAAUGGCUUUUCAAGUGGUUCUGGUUAUUUGGUCCAAGUGGUUCUGGUUAUUUGGUCCAAAAAUAGGAAGUAAGUGAAUUAUGGAGUUAGGGGGAGGCUUAAGUCCAUAAUAUCACAUUGUGGGGACAAUCAUGCAUCUUAGCAAGUAAAAUGCAUAUUUUCAUUCAAACACUUGUAAUAUUUGCUUGCUUUGGUUGUGUUGUCAUCAAUCACCAAAAAGGGGGAGAUUGUAAGGAAAAUGGACCCCGGGCCAUUCGGCUAAUUGAGUUUUGGUGUUUGAUGAACAACACAAUCCGUGAACUAAUAAGUUUUCUAGUGUUUGUGUUUAUAGUUCACAGGAUGCGAAGAGAAUUGGACCAAGGCAAUGAGGAUGCAACACCUCAAAAGAAGACAUAAAAAGAUACAUAGGAGUCCAAUACUCAAAGAACAAAGAAGCCCGAAGAAAUCAGCGAAGAAAUCCAAGAUGAGGGCUGUCAGCCAGCGCCUGGUGGCGCACCGGACUGUCCGGUGAGGCACCGGACAGUCUGCGCAGAGAGGCCGCAUACAGGCGCUCUCUGGCUGUAGCACCGGACUGUCCGGUGUGCACCGGACUGUCCGGUGUGCCAACGGGCAGACGGCAACGGUCGGAUCCAACGGUCGACUGCUACAGGCGCCAACGGUCGGCUGACGUGGCGUGCACCGGACAUCUAUUGUGCAGUGUCCGGUGGUGCACCGGACUGUCCGGUGCACCCGACGACAGAAAGCUGCUGCUUUCUGUCCAACGGCUAGUUGGGGGUGUGGAGGCUAUAAAUACCACCCCAACCGGCCAUUCUCAUGUGUGGGAGCCCAAGCAACAUACCAAGGCAUAUAGUCCACAUUUCCAAGAGCUCAAACACCCAAGUGCUUAAUAGAAUCACUCGGUGAUUAGCGUAGGUGCUUUGCGAAGUGCUUAGGUUAGUUAGACCGCUUUAGCGCUUGCUCUAGGUGAACCCUAGUUAGUUGAGUGAGUUUUGUAAAACCACACAACCCCUCGGCUCUUGCGUGAGUCGUUGUAAUUGUACCGAGUGGGGCGAGAGUCUUGCGAGACCGUGACAACCGCGUUUGUGUCACGGCCGCCACCGUGUACCGGAGGGAACGAGGCCCGCGGCGUUUCGGCCGGAAGCUCGAUAGUGGAGACGGCGGGGAGCGUCCGAGAGGAGCCGGAAGCGGAGCACCACUUGCGCGUGGAGAAGGCCCGUGGCUCUCUACGGAGUUACUCGACCGUGGUGCUUGGCCCUCGCGUGGGCUUCCCUUUGCGUAGGGGCACCAACGAGGAUUAGUCGGAACCUUACGUGGUUCCGGAUACCUCGGUAAAAAUACCGGCGUCAUCCACGAGAGUUUGCUUCUCUACUUAGCUCUUUACAUUCCGCAUUUAUAUUAAGCAUUUAAGUUUCAAUCUUAUUGUCAUACUUAUUUAGUGUAGAUUGAAACUUAGCCUUUGCGGUAGAGAUAGCAACACUUAGACAAAACCUAGUUUGCACACUCUAGUUUGAUUACUUGCAAAGGUUUUGCUCUAGGGAUUUAAUUGUGGCCUAGUUUAGUAAAAGUUUUGGAAGUCCUAAUUCACCCCCCCCCCUCUUAGGCGUCACCCGUUUCCUACAACCGACGACACGCCUGAGCCCGACGAGGCCUCGGCCGCUGAGGGUGAGGCACUGCGCGUCGAGGAAGAGCAGAAUGGGGUCACGUCUAAUCGAAAUUGGUAGACCCCGUACCUGCAAUAUCUCCACCAGGGAGAGCUACCCCUCGACAAGGCCGAAGCUCGGCGACUGGCGCGGCGCGCCAAGUCGUUCAUCUUACUGGGUGAUGAAAAGGAGCUCUACCACCGCAGCCCCUCAGGCAUUCUCCAACGAUGCAUAUCCGUCACCGAAGGACAGGAGCUAUUGCAAGAGAUACACUCAGGGGCUUGCGGUCACCAUGCAGCACCUCGAGCCCUCGUUGGGAACGCCUUCCGACAAGGUUUCUACUGGCCAACCGCGGUGGCCGACGCCACUAGGAUUGUACGGUCCUACCAAGGGUGUCAAUUCUACGUGAGACAGACGCACUUGCCCCCUCAGGCCCUGCAGACAAUACUCAUCACCUGACUAUUUGCUGUGUGGGGUCUGGACCUCGUCGGUCCCUUGUAGAGGGCACCCGGGGGCUUCUCGCACCUGCUGGUCGCCAUCGACAAAUUCUCCAAGUGGAUCGAGGUCCGACCCCUAACAAGCAUCAGGUCCGAGCAGGCGGUGGCAUUUUUCACCAACAUCAUCCAUCGCUUUGGGGUCCCGAACUCCAUCAUCACCGACAAUGGCACCCAGUUCACUCACUACAACAUAUAUGGCCUUCUAUGACAAAUAUUUGAUGACACUAGUUGGAAUUGUCACUACACCGCUCUAUUUAUGACGAUUUUGACGAGACAUAUAUGUUUAAUGACAAAAAAGUAACCAUUGUCAUUAAAACUGUCAUAACUCAUGCUAACAUGCCAUUUGUGACGAUGGUCUAUGACAAUAUGGGUGUGUCAUAAGAAUAAAUCGUCAUAGCUUCCUCUACAUCAUAAUUACGACAAUUGUAUGACAAGUUCAUUCGUCAUUGAUAUGUGAUUAUAUUUUUUAAAAUGAAAUAACAUAUAAUUGAUGUAACGGCAGGUCCACAUCAAGGCUAAAUGGGUUCAACAUGAGGUGUUUAUUAAUGUAACACAUUAAUUUUUUUUUUGAUUUUUCAACUAUUUGUAUUAAAGUACCUCUAGUAGUUAGCUAAUUUGUAGAAUUUUACCUCCCAUCACCUCGAUUAUUAGCCCAUAAUUUAUUAACUUGUCCACGAGGACAAAUCUUUCCGAUAUGCACAUAUGGUCAAAUAUUUGUUUUAUAGAUGCAAAGAGGCAAUGACAACUUUGUUUCACAUCGUAUAAUUCCCAACCUAUCUGGCGUCUUCGAACAAGAGUGGACCUUAAAAAAAAUUUACUUCAAAAGAAAUGCGAGCACAUUUAAAGUGUUUAGGGUCUCAAAAGAUAUUUUUACAUUAAUAGCUAGACCUUAAAUAAUGCUAUUUAGAAAAUAAUUCACAUUAUUAUAAAAUAAAUAGUUGCCGAUCAAGAGAAAACGAGAAAGGGACAAAUAUAUUGGUAUUUUAUUUGGGACCCGAGAGAUAAAGCUCUUUAAUCAUUUAAUUUUUUUUUAUAAAAUAGACUCAACUCCUUGUAAUAGAAUUGUUUGCAUAAAAUAUUAAUUAUAUACAAAGAUGGAAGCGAAGCUCCACAACUAGAAUGGCCACAUUGUCUUAAUUAAUUUAUUUAUUUGCAUAUGUAAAAGUCCUGCACCACAAAGCCCAACCAGAACUCCAUGUCUCCCUUUUUACCGCUGUCGGAUCUAUUUUGAAAGGUUGUGUUUUUAUUAAACCCUAAAACGGGAACUGGGAGGGGAUUAGGGGAUUAAAUCAUCUGGUCCUGUCUUGCACUUUCUAGAACCGGGAGGAGAGCAAGGCAUGCGACGUUUUUCCUACCAAUUGGCUCUCGUCGUACGCCAUCGCUGCAUGAGGUGAGGCCGUGGUGAGGAUCCCGCGCCACCUCGCUCUCGGAUGCCUCCGCCCCGUCCGUUGCAGAUGGCGACUGGCGGCUAGGGUUUUCUGCACGAGGUAAAGAUCUUGCGCCGCCUCAAAUCAGAUUUCUGUUGUGCCCCUUUCUUAGGAUCUGGAUGAGGUAGGCGAGGUAGAGGAGGCCAAAACAUGGGCCAAGGCGGUGAUGCUCCUCAUCAUGUGCGGCGAUCACCACGCAUCUGGCGAGGCCAUCAAGGAUGUGCUUUCAGUCUUUCACCUAGGAGCUUGGCGAUGACUACCAGGUAAACUAAAAAAUACCAACCCUGAGCAUGCAGUUUUGCCAUUACAAACAUGUUUUUUUUUGUUUACAACAAUCUGCUCAUUUUUUCUGUCAAAGCACUCAGUACGUCAAAAAAAAGUAUAGCCUUGAACAUGCAUCCAGAUAUUAUACUAUGUUAUCAUCAUGAAAAUAUGGUUGCCUACAUCUAUUAAUGUGAGGUAAGCUAGAACUAAGUCCUCAUUUGAAACGGUACUCACCUCAAUUUAGUUGUUUUACUUGAGAGCUAUUUAGUUGAAAGACUCAUCACCACACAGUUUAACUAUGAGCAACCUUUAUUUAAUCAUUACAGUCUACGAGUACUUAUUUAGGCUAAGGGUGUUGAGACCUCGGCAUAGUAAAUAGUAAUCUUAGAUAAGUUCAUCUGGUGACUCUAGCAAACUCCUUAUCAUGAUUUAUGGGGUGGAUAGAACAACACAAACCUCUAUAUUAAUUGUAUAUUUUUUAUUAGCAAAGUUGGUAAGAUGGUAAGCUCAUCACGAGAACCCUUCCCAAUGUAUAUAUUUUAUUUGCUAUUAGUUGCCCAUUACUAUUACUAUAUAUUAUAGCGUGGAAAAAAUCCCGUUAACAAAAAAAAAGAAUUUUUGGCAUGGGAUCCAACAAAGCCUCAACUAUCUCACUGACUGGUCGUUGCUUACUUCCUGUUCCACUGCAAAUCGUAAUGGUGCUUACCUAUUUCGUUACAUAACCUCUAUAAUCUAGAAUGUGUUUGAUUGACUGCUUCUAAUUCCCUUUUGCCCUAAAAUUGGUUUAAUGUCUGUCUACUUCAUCUGUGAUGAUUCUGUUUUAUAAGUACGCCAUGCUUCAUUUGGUUCACCAAGUUAUCUGCUGGCGUAAUCUUUUUACUUCCAUGGAUGCGUCUUAUUGCCCGCUCCUAAUACCCUGUUGCCCUAAAAAUUGGUGUUAAUGUUUGCCUGCUUCAUCUGUGAUAAUCCUAUUUUACAAGUAUGUCGUGCUUCAUUUGGUUCAUCAAUUUACCUGCUGUUCUAAUCCUAAGUCACCAUAAUAUCAACAUUGCACAAUAAGUCCUAUGUGAUAUCUGACCAUUUCAUAACAUCAAAAGCCAUUCUUUUUAAACAAUUGCAUUCUACAGCGGUACAGCCUGAAUCAUUCAAUUAAAUUGUUGUACCAUAACUGAUGUUUUGUGCAGAUUCUUUGUUUCGCUAAGUUCAACGAAAUUUUUUUAAGGGGACAAGUAGAGUUGGACAAAAGGGUAAUUCAUUUCAGUUGGUUUUAGUUACUAAAUUAACACCUCAUAAAAAACUUAAACAGAAACAAAUCAAACACAUGUGAGUGCCUUAGGCAUGUCGUCAGUUUAAUUACUUAUAGCAAAAUAAAUGUUUACAUACAUUGCUCUGCAAUUACUAACCUGCCCUUUAAUUGAUCUUGCAUGCUGCGCCACCAAACGGCCGUUAUGAAACUAUGUUUCAUCAAGCUGCACCCAUUUCAACUGCAAGACCAUAUGUUUUAUUUCUUGACAUAUGAUUGUGAUGUCCUAAUUAUUCGUUGAAUUGUAUUUAUUUUUGUUAUUGACGCAUGUUACUUGAGGACUGCUUCAUUUACUGUUUUAUUUAAAUGUUUUAUCACUAUUUAUAUCUAAAAUGUAUUUUGAAUUGUUAUUUUGAAAUCUAACUUGUACCUUAUUUUAAGACCUUCAUUCUCACUGGACUCAUUUUAUAUCAUUUCAAAAGCAAGAAAAAUGUAAGGAUGCUGAACUUAGUGCAAUAGAUCUUUUAAAGGACAUGCAUUGCAACAAAAAGAAAGGUUUUAGUGAAAAUAUUGAGAAAGCUAUUGUAAGUGCUUGUUUUCCUUUCAUGUUUGUACUCACAACUUGCAACUUCUGGUAUACUAUACUGAUGAAUAACCUUUAACCUUUAUAUUAGGUUGACAUGGAAGAAAUAAUGGUAGCACCAAUUUAGGAUGGAUAACAACCAAAAUAUCCUACAAAAGUUGUUUCUAGUAUCAUACCGGGCUCCAGUGUGUUCCUAUGCAAUGUUGGUCUUCGGUCUGCAUCCAAGAAAAGCUCCAUAGCGUCAAUUUCUGCAAAGGUUCAACAACUUUAGGAUGAACUUGAGAUCAAGAAGCAAGAAAUAUUUGUAGUGAACAAAUUCAUGCGAUAUUUUGGUUGUGAUGUGUAAUAUUCCUUGACGAUAUGAAUGCUUAUGAUGUGUUCCUUCUAAUGACUAUUGUAUCUAUCACAAAUGCUUUGGCACAUCACUGCCAUGUCAUCAUAUUUUAUGAUGAAAAUAUUCGUCACAAAUGUAUUGCCAUAGAAGCGGCCACCAGUCCACCACCUUCCAAUUUGUGAUGAAAUUUUGCCAUGUCAUCUGCCACACGAUCAAAUCUAUGACAAAUAUUUUUGUCAUUAACAUUUUGCCACGUCACAUACCACGUCAUCACUAUUAGCCAUGUGGCAAUGCACGACAGUACAAAUUGUGACAUUUUCAAAGGCACUUAUGACGAAAUAAAGUGUCAUAGAUUUUGUGACGAAUCUGGUAUGCGUCACAAAACCUAUGACAUUUUUUUGAUGAUCGUCAUUGUAGUUCAUUUAACACGCACCUUCUAUGACGAUGUCCUUUUUGUCACAAUGGUGUCACCAAAAUACAACCUAUGACAAAUAAACACUAGUUAGUGACAUAAUCAUAAUGUCACAGAAGGCCUAAAAGGUUGUAGUGACUGGGAAGAAGUUCCUGGACUUCUGCGAGGACCACCACAUCCGUGUGGACUGGGCCGCCGUGGCUCACCCCAUGACGAAUGGGCAGGUGGAGUGUGCCAACGGUAUGCUUCUGCAGACACUCAAACCAAGGAUCUACAACGACCUCAACAAGUUCGGCAAGUGAUGGAUGAAAGAGCUACCCUCGGUGGUCUGGAGUCUGAGGACGACGCCAAGCCGAGCCACGGGUUUCUCGCUGUUCUUUCUAGUCUAUGGGGCCGAGGCUAUCUUGCCCACAGACUUAGAAUACGAUUCCCUAAGGACAAGGGCGUACGACGACCAAAGCAACCAGACCAGCCGAGAAGACUCACUGGACCAGCUGGAAGAGGCUCGGGACAUGGCCUUACUAUACUCGGCGCGAUAUCAGCAGUCUCUACGACGCUACCACGCCCGAGGGGUUCAGCCCCGAGACUUCCAGGUGGGAGACUUGGUACUUCGGCCGCGGCAGGACGCCCGAGGGCGCCACAAGCUUACUCCUCCCUGGGAAGGGCCGUUCAUCAUCGCUAAGAUUUUGAAGCCCGGAACAUACAAGCUGCCAACGAUCAAGGCGAGGUCUACGGCAACGCUUGGGACAUCCGACAGCUACGUCGCUUUUACCCUUAAGAUGUUUACAAGUCGUUCAUAUACCUCGUUUUCUAUACAUACACAAAUAAAGUCUCACCGUCAAGGAAGGGUCAGCCUUACCUCGGCAAAGCCCGACCCUCCCUCGGGGGCUAGAAGGGGGGAACCCUCUUUUUGACAGCCGCCCCAGAGCACUCGGGCUUCAGGCUCAUUACUGAUCAGGGGUUCGAAGGCUGGCCCCUCGGAAGGGUUCGACAGCCGCCUAGAGCACUUGGGCUCCGCGCCCACUACUGAUCAGGGGUUCGAAGGCUGGCCCCUCGGAAGGGUUCGAUAGCCGCCCCAGAGCACGCAGAGCGAGGGAUGACUCUGGGUACGUCCGUUACAUGGCCGAGGCUCGGGCUAUGCUCCCGAGGUACCCUAGGACAUUUCCGAGACCAGCAGGAGCGAUUUUGUAACAGAAUCCCAUCAAAGGGAGGCAUCGAGCCCUCGGACCCCAUCGAACGGGUCCGGGUCUGGCAAAUCACCUGCAGGUACUUUUGGAGCGCGCCUCUGGGCCACUAGUCGACCAUUAUCGAACGGGGCACGGGCGUCCACUCGGAUCACCCGUUAGCAACUCACGGGAGACACCAUGUUCGGCGCCCUCCGAGGGCAACAUGGCGCUUCCCCCCCUUCCUCCUUGCGGAAAGGCGACGAAGGGGCGUACAAUAAAAGUCGAGAUAGUCCUUGAUCGUCCUCUCGCUUCGUGCAAAGGCUCGGGGGCUGCUCUCGCAAACCCGGCUACGGCCAAACCGUUGACAGCGUCAACAAACCAGCCUGAAAACUCGGAACCUGACUGUAACGCCCCGAAUUUUGCAGUUGAAUUUUUUUUUCUUUUCUUUACUCGCCAAAAUUCGGGCGUUACCUUUUCUUUUUCUUUUUUCCCCUCGCUAAACCUUGACCUUUUCCAAAGUUCUAGCGGGAUUCGGUUUGGAAUUCCCGUGUAAGAAAAACCCUAAAUACUUUAUGUUGUUUGAUGCACCAUGCCGAACCUUGCAUUUCUUUUGAUUGCUUUGAAAGCGCAAUUGCAUUCAUGUAGAAAGAUCGGAUUUCGAAAAAGAGGAGAAGAUCUUUUCUUUCUUUUUUCUCCCUCUCUUUUUCUCUCCUCUUUUUCUCUCUCUCCCGCGCCGUGGGCCGACCCCGGCCGGCCCAGCCGCCCCUGGCGCCCCCUCUUGGGCCCAAAAAGGCCCAGCCCCCCCUCAUUCCCCCUUUUUUCCCCAAACCCUCUCCCUCUCCCUCUCAUUUUCUCUCAUUUUCUCUCCCCCACCCUAAGCCGCCGCCGCCCCCUGCCGGCCGCCCUCGCCGUCGGCCGCCCAUCGCCGGUGAGCCCCCUCCUCCCUCUCUCCCUCCUCCCUCCCUCUCCCCUCUCCCCUCCUCCCUCCCCUUGGCAGCCCAGCCGCCCGGCCGCUGGCCGCGCCCCUGGCCACGCCCCAGCCGGCCGCUGCCGGCCGCUGGCCGCCCCUGGCCGCGCCCUCGGCCGCCCGCCCAGCCGCGCCCAACCGCCCCCAGCCCGCGCCCCUGGCCGCGCCCCAGCCGGCCGCUGGCCGCCCCUGGCCGGUCCCGGCCGCCCCCAGCCCGGCCGCCCCCCAGCCGCUCGCCUAGGGCCGGUUCAACCGCCCCUAGGGCCGGUUCAACCGCCCCCCCCUGUUUUUUUUAUUUUUUUAUUUUAUUUUAUUUACUUUCUGUGAUCAUAGCUAUUUUAUUUUAGGUAGGCUAAUCACUGUUCAUGUUAUUGAAAUAGGAAGUUUAAUUUAGAAUUCCGUUACGCUAAUUGAUUCAUGUGAUUCACUGUUUAUCUCGUUCAAUGUUGAUCAACUUAAAAUGAUUAGGUUUCCAUUAGUGUAUAUGUAACAGAAUUCUUUUGUUAAGAACCAAUUGUAAUUGAUCGUUAGUACAUAAGAUUUAACCCCCUGCGAGACCCUUUCCCGUUUCUUUCUAACCAUAACAAAUGCAAUGUCAAAUGUCAUACUUGAUGCAUAUUCGCUUUAUUUGUUCCCUUGUAUGGUGUACUGUUCUUUUGUAUUAAAUAUGUGGAUGGAUGUAUGUAUGUUUGCGCUCGCAUAGAGAACGAUCCGGUCGAAGAGCCCGAGGAAUUCGCAGGAGAAGCCCCUGAGCAGCAGUCGGUUGGUGGAGGCAAGUGUCCUUUGACCUAUCUCUGUCCUAAUCAUUCUUUAAUUCACCUCCCGCAUCACACAUUUAUACCUAAGGAUUGACUAGCUUUUUGUUAUCCAUGUCCUUGUUUACCUAUUUGGGUCGGAUUAUUACUGCUUAGUUUGAUGCUAUUGCUCAACUUUAAUCAAUGAACAUGAUGUGGUUAUCUAUGAUACGCUGUUUUCCCGUUCUUAUUUAUGAUUAUACUUGUGGCAUUUAAGGGGACUCGAGCGGUUUCUCGAGUGCCUCUCCGUAAGGACCUGUUCAAUGGAUGACCGCCCGGGAAAACAGUGCAACCAUGAGGGUGGAAUGGGGUGCCCUUAGCUGAAUAAUUAGAGGAUCCGGGGUGUAGUUCGCUUCGCCGUCGUGCCGUCAAUGGGGCUCGGUGUAUGCGGCUCGCUCUGCCAAGGUUGAUUUGUCCCUUGGAGAGGAGUGCGGUACAUUUAGGAAACCUAACGGGCGGCUACAGCCCCGGGGAAUCUUUGUAAAGGCUUCGUAGUGAAUCCCUGGCCAUUCACCUCGGGAGUGAAUAAGGGUCUUGCAAGCCCGGGCCAGAGAGGGAAUCACGACUUGUGGGUAAAGUGCACAACCUCUGCAGAGUGUUAUGAAACUGAUAUAUCAGUCGUGCUCGCGGUUAUGAGCGGCCAAGGGAGCUCCAGAGAUUAGUGAUACUUGAUCAGAGAUACUUUGGUACAGGUGACAAUGAGAUUGAUGGUUCUGAUUACGAUUAUGGUAUUGGUAAGUGGUAUUCUUUCCGUUUGGAAAGGAUGCAUUGGGCUAAUAACUUGGGUUAAUGUUAAAACCUGGCUUUCUACUAGUAAGUAAUAACCUGACCAACUAAAAGCAACUGCUUGACUUAUCCCCACAUAAAGCUAGUCCACUACAGCCAAACAGGAUACUUGCUGAGUAUGUUGAUGUGUACUCACCCUUGCUCUACACACCAAACCCCCCCCCCCAGGUUGUCAGCAUUGCAACCACUGCUCAGGCGAAGAUGAAGCUGUGGAAGGAGACUUCCAGGAGUUCCAAGACUACGACGAGUUCUAGGUGUGGGUUAGCGGCAAACCCCCAGUCGGCUGCCUGUGAAGGCCGUGUUAUCUACGUUUCUUUUCCGCACUUUGAUUUAUUGUAAGAACUAUAUGGACGUCUCAGACGUAUGAUGUAAUCGACUAUUUCCCUUAUUAAUACUAUUUUGAGCACUGUGUGAUGAUGUCCAUAUUAUGUAACUGCUGUGUACGUGAAUAACUGAUCCUGGCACGUACAUGGUUCGCAUUCGGUUUGCCUUCUAAAACCGGGUGUGACAUAAGUGGUAUCAGAGCCGUGCUGACUGUAGGACCGCUGACCUAGAGUAGAAUGGUCGUUCUAAGGACUAUAGACCUCUGUCUCUGCCUUGACUUUGAUAUCCCUUCAAAAGUUGGUCAUACCGACCAAGCCUAUGUUCUACUAUAUAUUAUACCUUGCUGAAAAUCAUGUUUUAUUCUAAUCCUUCAUUUACUUAUGAUUCAUUAUUUGCUGGUCAUAUUAAUUCUGUUCUCACCCUUUUGCUUGCGAUGUCUUUUGUAGAUGGCUCGACUUAGACACACUGCACGAAAGUCCGUCAUCCCCUUCUUACCCUCCCGCCUUGCUGAGCGUCCGCUUCGCCGUCCCGUGGCCGGACAGUCUAGCCACUUGGAGAGACUACACCACCGCCUGCGUGAGGAGCAGGAACGUCGACGACAGGAGCAGCAGGGCUCUUCUUUCUCGCUCCACCAGGAGAUAGAGUCUGUGAGGAGCUGCUCUCCUGUGCUUCCUCUGGAGGCGCCCCCUGCACCACCACUGGGCGCCCCAGCUUCUGGAGUAGCUGCUGGAGGAGACCCAGACGACGGAGAUGGCGACGACAGCUCGAGCCACGACACCGACUUCUCUGCUAACCCUGAGCCGGAAGGAUGGGUUGCUCGACCCAUCACUCGCGACGCUGCUCGCGGGUGUCACUUCCACGAUGCGCUCGACACCCUGCUACGUCGGGCAUUUGACCGGCAUACUUGGUCCGUCGAGUAUCGCUGUGUGGUCUACCAGCAUAGUCGCGGGGUCUACCCGGACCGCUGGGAGGCGACUUGCUUGGUGCGCUGCCCGGAGGACAGUCUCCAGGGUGCAGAGGCCUGCUCAGAGCACUAUUCUAUCUCUGAACGGGACUCAGCUGAGGCAGCCAUGCAAGAUGCUGCACGGCGUGCGCUUUUGCACUACUGCUCGGUUUUCGGUGGGGCAGCUGACGGUCUUGACCUGAAGUAUUACCCCCGCCGUUCAUCUGGCAGCACAGGAGGCGUGAUUGUCUCACCUGUCGGUGAGGGCAAUCCUAGGUUGAGCAGCACAGUCAACCUAGCCGCCGUGCUAAACACGGAGCUGGACCAUGCAUUAGAUGAGCUGAGUAGGGCUCGUGCUGAGAUUGCCCUGCUGCGGGCUGAGCGCGCGGAACGUCGUCAUCUGGAUGGUGGUUCCCCCGCUCCCGUCGGGACUCAGCACCCGUACCGCUCACCUCAGCGUGGACACCAGCCUUAUGGCAAUCCCGACUGCAAGACCAAGAUAAAUCUAGAACCAUAGAUCGCUAGAGUUGGAUCUUGUAAUUAAUACGAAAUAUAUAUACAUAGAAGCUUCAGUCUUAGCGUUAGUCUCAGUCUUAGUUAGUCUUAGUUAGACAGGGUAGUUUGCUAUAUCCUGUGCAUUUAUGUUUGUCAUGAUGAACUAUGUUUGGUUUGGAUCUUUGUAAUGAUUGUCACCAGAGUGUGGGUAUCCCCUGCAUUUUGGUUUACAUAUUAUGUUAAUAAAGUUAGUUAUAUAGUUGGGAAACCUUUUAUUCCCCUUUCCUUUCUAUCUGAGAAGCUGUGUGGUCUGUGUUGGAGAUCAGUGAAGAUGCUCAUCUGUUCAGUGCUGUUGAAGAAUUCUAUUCUCUUUUCUUAUGCUGCAAGAUUUGCAAGAUCAGUUCUGAUGUGUGGUUGCAUUCUGCAGAUGUCAGAGAACAGGCGCAGAGGAGGAAGGCGUGCUCAACAGGAGCGAGUUGCUCCGCAGGAUGAGGCGCCCCAGCAGCAGCAGCUGCCACCCCCGCCCCCGAUGUCGAUCGAGCAGAUGUUUCUGAUGCAGACUCAGGCAGUUCAGGCCAUCGGUCAGACUCUGGCCGCCAUUCAGCAGCAACAACAGCAGCAAGCACCACCCCAGCCUCAGAUGCCCAGAGACAAGCGUGCUGAAUUCAUGAGAGGUCAUCCCCCAACGUUCGCUCACUCUUCUGACCCCAUGGAUGCUGAAGAUUGGCUGCGCACUGUGGAGCGGGAGUUGCAUACCGCUCAGUGUGAUGACAGGGAGAAAGUCUUGUAUGGUCCCCGUCUGUUGAGAGGAGCAGCCCAAUCAUGGUGGGAGUCUUACCUCGCCACCCAUGCCAACCCCGACACCAUCACCUGGGAAGAAUUCAGAGGUAGCUUUCGUCAGUACCACGUGCCUGCAGGUCUGAUGACAGUGAAGAAGGAGGAGUUCCUGGCCCUUAAGCAAGGGUCAUCAUCUGUCAGUGAGUAUCGAGACAGGUUUCUGCAAUUGUCUCGCUAUGCUCCUGAGGAUGUCAACACUGACGCCAAGCGACAAUACCGUUUCCUGAGAGGCUUGGUCGACCCCCUGCAGUAUCAGCUGAUGAAUCACACCGUCCCGACAUUCCAGCACCUGAUUGAUAGAGCGAUCAUGACAGAAAGGAAGCGUAAGGAGAUGGAAGAUCGUAAGCGCAAGAUCAGUGGACCCCAGCCUGGAAGCAGCAGCCGCCCUCGUUUUUCAGGCAAUCAACCUCAGCAGUUCAGGCAGAACCUGCGUCCACCUCAGCAGCAUCAGCAGUUUCAAAGGCAGUAUCCUCAUCAUCAGUACCAGAACCGUCAGAGCAAUCAGUCAGGAGGUCAGUUUCAAAGGCAGAAUCAGCAAGCACCCCGUCUUCCUGCCCCAGCAAACCAGCAGAACAGUCAGGCAGCACCAGCUCAGGUUGGAAACAGGGCAUGUUUCCAUUGUGGAGAGCAGGGUCACUGGGUGAUGCAAUGUCCGAAGAAGGCAGCCCAGCAGCAGUCAGGCCCCAAUGCCCCAGCAAAGCAGAAUGUGUCUCAGCCUGGAGCAGGCAACCGCCCUCAACAGCGCUAUAAUCAUGGAAGAUUGAAUCACUUGGAGGCCGAAGCAGUUCAGGAGACCCCCGGCAUGAUAGUAGGUAUGUUCCCAGUCGACUCCCAUAUUGCAGAAGUGUUAUUUGAUACUGGAGCAACGCAUUCUUUCAUUACUGCAUCAUGGGUAGAAGCACAUAAUCUUCCAACUACUACCAUGUCAACCCCCAUUCAAAUUGACUCAGCCGGUGGUAGAAUUCGAGCCGAUAGCAUUUGUUUGAAUAUAAGUGUGAAAAUAAGGGGGAUAGCGUUUCCCGCCAACCUUAUAGUAAUGGGUACUCAGGGAAUAGAUGUCAUCCUAGGGAUGAAUUGGCUGGAUAAGUAUCAGGCAGUUAUCAGUUGUGAUAAAAGGACAAUCAAGUUGGUGUCCCCACUAGGAGAGGAAGUGGUGACCGAGUUAGUCCCACCUGAGCCGAAGAAAGGAAGUUGUUAUCAGAUGGCUGUCGAUAGCAGUGAAGCAAAUCCAAUUGAGAGCAUCAAGGUUGUGUCUGAAUUCCCAGAUGUGUUUCCAAAGGAUUUACCGGGUAUGCCACCAGAGCGGAAAGUUGAGUUUGCCAUAGAGCUUCUUCCUGGAACCGCCCCCAUCUUUAAGAGAGCUUACAGAAUAUCCGGACCAGAGUUGGUUGAGCUUAAGAAGCAGAUUGAUGAGCUGUCAGAGAAAGGUUACAUUCGGCCAAGCACCUCGCCUUGGGUCGCCCCUGUCUUAUUUGUGGAGAAGAAAGAUGGCACCAAGAGGAUGUACAUCGAUUAUCGAGCUUUGAAUGAGGUCACGAUCAAGAACAAGUAUCCCUUGCCCAGAAUAGAAGAUCUGUUCGACCAGUUGAGAGGAGCCAGUGUGUUCUCCAAGAUUGAUCUGAGGUCAGGUUAUCAUCAGCUCAGGAUCCGACCUUCGGACAUUCCGAAGACGGCAUUCAUUACCAAGUAUGGUUUGUAUGAGUUCACAGUGAUGUCUUUUGGUUUGACCAAUGCACCAGCGUUCUUCAUGAAUCUGAUGAACAGUGUAUUCAUGGAUUACCUUGAUAAGUUUGUGGUGGUAUUCAUUGAUGACAUUCUGAUUUAUUCCCAAAGCGAAGAAGAGCACGCAGAUCAUUUGAGGAUGGUAUUGCAGAGAUUGCGAGAGCACCAGUUGUACGCAAAGUUGAGCAAGUGCGAGUUCUGGAUCAGCGAAGUCCUGUUCUUGGGUCACAUAAUCAACAAGGAAGGAUUGGCUGUGGAUCCGAAGAAAGUGGCAGACAUUCUGAACUGGAAAGCGCCAACGGAUGCUCGAGGAAUCAAGAGUUUCAUUGGAAUGACCGGAUAUUAUCGGCGAUUCAUUGAAGGGUUUUCGAAGAUUGCGAAACCAAUGACAGCGUUGCUAGGCAACAAGGUUGAGUUCAAAUGGACCCAGAAAUGUCAAGAGGCCUUUGAAGCGCUGAAAGAGAAGUUGACUACAUCGUCUGUCCUAAUCUUGCCUGAUGUGCACAAGCCCUUCUUGGUGUAUUGUGAUGCUUGUUACACAGGUUUGGGAUGCGUGUUGAUGUAAGAGGGAAGAGUUGUGGCUUACUCGUCCCGGCAGCUGAAGGUUCAUGAGAAGAACUACCCAAUCCAUGAUCUAGAGUUGGCAGUAGUGGUUCACGCACUGAAGACAUGGAGGCACUAUUUGUAUGGACAGAAAUGCGAUGUUUACACAGAUCACAAGAGUCUGAAGUACAUAUUCACUCAGUCAGAGUUGAACAUGAGGCAACGAAGAUGGUUAGAGCUGAUCAAAGACUAUGAGUUGGAGAUUCAUUACCAUCCAGGCAAAGCAAACGUAGUGGCAGAUGCUUUGAGCAGAAAGAGUCAAGUCAAUCUGAUGGUCGCUCGUCCGAUGCCUUAUGAGUUGGCCAAGGAGUUCGACAGGUUGAGUCUCGGGUUUCCGAACAAUUCGCGAGGAGUCACAGUUGAAUUGGAACCUACCUUGGAGCGAGAAAUCAAAGAAGCGCAGAAGAAUGAUGAGAAAAUCAGUGAGAUCCGGCGACUGAUUCUAGAUGGUAAAGGCAAAGAUUUUCGAGAAGAUGCAGAAGGCGUGAUAUGGUUCAAAGACCGCUUGUGUGUUCCCAAUGUCCAGUCUAUUCGGGAGUUGAUCCUUAAGGAAGCUCAUGAGACAGCUUAUUCGAUUCACCCUGGUAGUGAGAAGAUGUAUCAGGAUCUGAAGAAGAAAUUCUGGUGGUACGGAAUGAAGAGGGAAAUCGCAGAGCAUGUGGCUAAGUGCGAUAGUUGUCGAAGAAUUAAGGCAGAGCACCAGAGACCAGCUGGAUUGUUGCAACCGUUGCAGAUCCCUCAGUGGAAAUGGGAUGAAAUUGGUAUGGAUUUCAUAGUCGGAUUGCCUCGCACUCGAGCCGGCUACGAUUCCAUUUGGGUAGUAGUGGACCGCUUGACCAAGUCAACCCACUUCAUACCUGUCAAGACCAACUAUAGCAGUGCAGUAUUGGCAGAAUUGUAUAUGUCUCGGAUCGUUUGUCUUCAUGGUGUGCCAAAGAAGAUAGUGUCAGACAGAGGAACGCAGUUCACCUCUCAUUUCUGGCAGCAGUUGCAUGAAGCUUUGGGCACGCAUCUGAAUUUCAGUUCAGCUUAUCAUCCGCAGACAGAUGGCCAGACCGAAAGAACCAAUCAAAUUCUCGAAGACGUGUUGAGAGCCUGUGCGUUGCAAGAUCAGUCCGGAUGGGACAAGAGAUUGCCUUAUGCGGAGUUUUCCUAUAACAACAGUUAUCAGGCCAGUUUGAAGAUGUCACCAUUUCAGGCGCUCUAUGGAAGGAGUUGUAGAACUCCGUUGCAAUGGGAUCAGCCUGGAGAGAAGCAAGUGUUUGGGCCAGACAUUUUGCUUGAAGCCGAAGAGAACAUCAAGAUGGUUCGAGAGAAUCUGAAGAUAGCGCAAUCGAGGCAGCGAAGCUAUGCAGACACAAGAAGAAGAGAGCUGAGUUUCGAAGUCGGAGACUUUGUCUAUCUGAAAGUGUCACCGAUCAGAGGAGUCAGAAGAUUCGGAGUGAAAGGCAAGCUAGCACCCCGCUACAUUGGUCCGUACCAGAUCCUCUCAAAGCGUGGAGAAGUGGCUUAUCAGCUCAGCCUACCAGAGAAUUUGUCUGCUGUGCAUGAUGUCUUUCAUGUGUCUCAGUUGAAGAAGUGCUUGCGUGUGCCAGAAGAGCAGUUGCCAGUGGAAGGUCUUGAGGUCCAGGAGGACUUGACCUAUGUUGAGCAGCCAGCUCAAAUCCUUGAGAUUGCAGACAGAGUCACCCGAAGGAAGACCAUCAGAAUGUGCAAGGUCAGAUGGAAUCACCACUCUGAGGAAGAAGCAACCUGGGAGCGUGAAGAUGAUUUGAUGGCCAAGUACCCAGAGCUCUUUGCUAGCCAGCCCUGAAUCUCGAGGGCGAGAUUCUUUUAAGGGGGAUAGGUUUGUAACGCCCCGAAUUUUGCAGUUAAAUUUUUUUUUCUUUUCUUUACUCGCCAAAAUUCGGGCGUUACCUUUUCUUUUUCUUUUUUCCCCUCGCUAAACCUUGACCUUUUCCAAAGUUCUAGCGGGAUUCGGUUUGGAAUUCCCGUGUAAGAAAAACCCUAAAUACUUUAUGUUGUUUGAUGCACCAUGCCGAACCUUGCAUUUCUUUUGAUUGCUUUGAAAGCGCAAUUGCAUUCAUGUAGAAAGAUCGGAUUUCGAAAAUGAGGAGAAGAUCUUUUCUUUCUUUUUUCUCCCUCUCUUUUUCUCUCCUCUUUUUCUCUCUCUCUCGCGCCGUGGGCCGACCCCGGCCGGCCCAGCCGCCCCUGGCGCCCCCUCUUGGGCCCAAAAAGGCCCAGCCGCCCCCCCCUCAUUCCCCCUUUUUUCCCCAAACCCUCUCCCUCUCCCUCUCAUUUUCUCUCAUUUUCUCUCCCCCACCCUAAGCCGCCGCCGCCCCCUGCCCUAAGCCGCCGCCGCCCCCUGCCGGCCGCCCUCGCCGUCGGCCGCCCAUCGCCGGUGAGCCCCCUCCUCCCUCUCUCCCUCCUCCCUCCCUCUCCCCUCUCCCCUCCUCCCUCCCCUUGGCAGCCCAGCCGCCCGGCCGCUGGCCGCGCCCCUGGCCGCGCCCUCGGCCGCCCGCCCAGCCGCGCCCAACCGCCCCCAGCCCGCGCCCCUGGCCGCGCCCCAGCCGGCCGCUGCCGGCCGCUGGCCGCCCCUGGCCGGUCCCGGCCGCCCCAGCCCGGCCGCCCCCCAGCCGCUCGCCUAGGGCCGGUUCAACCGCCCCUAGGGCCGGUUCAACCGCCCCCCUGUUUUUUUUUAUUUUUUUUAUUUUAUUUUAUUUACUUUAUGUGAUCAUAGCUAUUUUAUUUUAGGUAGGCUAAUCACUGUUCAUGUUAUUGAAAUAGGAAGUUUAAUUUAGAAUUCCGUUACGCUAAUUGAUUCAUGUGAUUCACUGUUUAUCUCGUUCAAUGUUGAUCAACUUAAAAUGAUUAGGUUUCCAUUAGUGUAUAUGUAACAGAAUUCUUUUGUUAAGAACCAAUUGUAAUUGAUCGUUAGUACAUAAGAUUUAACCCCCUGCGAGACCCUUUCCCGUUUCUUUCUAACCAUAACAAAUGCAAUGUCAAAUGUCAUACUUGAUGCAUAUUCGCUUUAUUUGUUCCCUUGUAUGGUGUACUGUUCUUUUGUAUUAAAUAUGUGGAUGGAUGUAUGUAUGUUUGCGCUCGCAUAGAGAACGAUCCGGUCGAAGAGCCCGAGGAAUUCGCAGGAGAAGCCCCUGAGCAGCAGUCGGUUGGUGGAGGCAAGUGUCCUUUGACCUAUCUCUGUCCUAAUCAUUCUUUAAUUCACCUCCCGCAUCACACAUUUAUACCUAAGGAUUGACUAGCUUUUUGUUAUCCAUGUCCUUGUUUACCUAUUUGGGUCGGAUUAUUACUGCUUAGUUUGAUGCUAUUGCUCAACUUUAAUCAAUGAACAUGAUGUGGUUAUCUAUGAUACGCUGUUUUCCCGUUCUUAUUUAUGAUUAUACUUGUGGCAUUUAAGGGGACUCGAGCGGUUUCUCGAGUGCCUCUCCGUAAGGACCUGUUCAAUGGAUGACCGCCCGGGAAAACAGUGCAACCAUGAGGGUGGAAUGGGGUGCCCUUAGCUGAAUAAUUAGAGGAUCCGGGGUGUAGUUCGCUUCGCCGUCGUGCCGUCAAUGGGGCUCGGUGUAUGCGGCUCGCUCUGCCAAGGUUGAUUUGUCCCUUGGGGAGGAGUGCGGUACAUUUAGGAAACCUAACGGGCGGCUACAGCCCCGGGGAAUCUUUGUAAAGGCUUCGUAGUGAAUCCCUGGCCAUUCACCUCGGGAGUGAAUAAGGGUCUUGCAAGCCCGGGCCAGAGAGGGAAUCACGACUUGUGGGUAAAGUGCACAACCUCUGCAGAGUGUUAUGAAACUGAUAUAUCAGCCGUGCUCGCGGUUAUGAGCGGCCAAGGGAGCUCCAGAGAUUAGUGAUACUUGAUCAGAGAUACUUUGGUACAGGUGACAAUGAGAUUGAUGGUUCUGAUUACGAUUAUGGUAUUGGUAAGUGGUAUUCUUUCCGUUUGGAAAGGAUGCAUUGGGCUAAUAACUUGGGUUAAUGUUAAAACCUGGCUUUCUACUAGUAAGUAAUAACCUGACCAACUAAAAGCAACUGCUUGACUUAUCCCCACAUAAAGCUAGUCCACUACAGCCAAAUAGGAUACUUGCUGAGUAUGUUGAUGUGUACUCACCCUUGCUCUACACACCAAACCCCCCCCCAGGUUGUCAGCAUUGCAACCACUGCUCAGGCGAAGAUGAAGCUGUGGAAGGAGACUUCCAGGAGUUCCAAGACUACGACGAGUUCUAGGUGUGGGUUAGCGGCAAACCCCCAGUCGGCUGCCUGUGAAGGCCGUGUUAUCUACGUUUCUUUUCCGCACUUUGAUUUAUUGUAAGAACUAUAUGGACGUCUCAGACGUAUGAUGUAAUCGACUAUUUCCCUUAUUAAUACUAUUUUGAGCACUGUGUGAUGAUGUCCAUAUUAUGUAACUGCUGUGUACGUGAAUAACUGAUCCUGGCACGUACAUGGUUCGCAUUCGGUUUGCCUUCUAAAACCGGGUGUGACACUGACCAUGCACCCGGGCUACAAUCAGAUUGCAUGAGGGAACAACCAGACCGAUCGAGGCAUCACGAAAGGCAUUAAGACCUCAGAGGAGUCAAACCACUCCUCCGAGGCCUCGGGGGCUACACCCGGCGGGUGCACUCGCGCGCACCCACCGGAACAAAGUGUAACCGAGAAAGGCCGGUCCCCUUGCAAAAAAAAGUGCGACAAAGCCUCCAAGCGAGUACCAACACUCCCUUUGAGGCUCGGGGGCUACUGUCGGGUACCGUAAUUAGGGUUACCCCCAACACUCCUAAACACGACUGGUAACCACCAUCAGCACAAGCUGUAGAGACUGAUGGGCACGAUUCAGGUCAAGGCUUCGUCUACUCAAGGGACGCGAUCUCGCCUCGCCCGAGCCCAGCCUCGGGCGGGAACAGUAGUCCCGUACAAAUUCUCGCCUCGCCCGAGGGCCUCCUCAAAGCAACGGGCGCACCCUCGACAUGCCCGAAGUCCAGCUCGGGCAGGCUUCGUAGUGAAGCAACCUUGGCCAAAUCGCCUCACCAACCGACCGUAUCGCAGGCGCAUUCAAUGCGAGGAUCGCGUGACGCCUUAUCCUGACACACGUGCCUCAGUCGGCAAGGUCGAAGUGACCGCAGUCACUUCGCCCUUCCACUGACCGACCUGACAGGAAAACAGCGCCGCUCGCCUCGCUCCGACUGCUGUGCCACCCGCUAGAAUGAGGCUGGCAACAGCCAAGUUCAGCCUCAGGCGCAACAGGAAGCUCUGCCUCGCCCGACUCCAGGGCUCGGCCUCAACCUCGGCCUCGGAAGGAGGACUCCGCCUCGCCCGACCCCAGAGCUCGGCUUCAACCUCGGCCUCGGAAGGAGGACUCCGCCUCACCCGACCCCAGGGCUCGGCCUCAGCCUCGGCCUCGGAGGGUGGUCUCCGCCUCGCCUGACCCCAGGGCUCGGCCUCAACCUCGACCUCGGGAGGAAUCGCGUCCUCGCCCGACCCCGGCCUCGGCCUCAGGAGGAGUCUCCGCCUCGCCUGACCUUGGGCUCGGACCGACCACGCCACGGGGGAUACUUCAUUACCCUACCCUAGCUAGCUCAGGCUACGGGGGAACAAGACCGGCGUCCCAUCCAGACUCGCCCCGGUAACAAGUAAUGAUGGCUCCCCGCGUGUGUCCAUGACGACGGUGGUUCUCAGCCCCCUACGAAAGCAGGGAGACGUCAGCAAGGUCCCAGCAGCCCCGACAGCUGUGCUUCUACAGGGCUCAAGCACUCCUCCGACGGCCACGACACCGCGUACACAGGGCUCUAGCACCUCUCCGACAGCCACGUUGGCAUGUACACAGGGCCCAGGCACCUCUCUGUCGGACACGUUAGCGCAUAGCUACACCCCCAUUGUACACCUGGACCCUCUCCUUGCAUCUAUAAAAGGAAGGUCCAGGGCCCUCAUGCGGGAGGGUCGCGCGGGAGGACGGGCUGACGAACAGGCUCACUCUCUCUCCCUCGCGAACGCUUGUAACCCCUACUGCAAGCGCAUCCCCCUGGCGCAGGAUAACACGAGCCGCGUUUUCCCCCCUUGUGUUCCAUCUCACGCCAACCCAUCUGGGCUGGGACACGCAGCGACGAUUUUACUCGUCGGUCCAGGGACCCUCCGGGGUCGAAACGCCGACAAAAGACUAUGUGGAUGUCUCAGACAUGUGAUGUAAUCGACUAUUAUUACUCCUUUAUGUGAUCAUUUGAGCACUGUGUAAUGAUGUCCAGUUAUGUAACUGCUGUGUACGUGAAUUGCUGAUCCUGGCACGUACAUGGUUCGCAUUCGGUUUGCCUUCUUAAAUCGGGUGUGACAGUGGGGCGGGCAAUAACUCGCGUCGGGAAGCGGACAGCGGCAAGUGGCAUCGAACGUGGCAUCGGGGCGGAUUGGUUCGAGUGGCGUCAAGAAGAAUGAGAUCGAACAGAUAGAUGCAAGGACUAAACCGACGAGUAGGACGAGAGUUAGAAGAACUCCGAUUAGGUGGACCCAGACAGAAUUGGUUUGGUCCACUAAAACUUCUAUUUUUUCUAUACUUAACAGUGAACCAACAUUAGGUAUAAGAAAUAUUAAAAAUUGAGGGGGCAUGGCCCCUUUGCCUACUAUGUAGAUCCGCCCCACGAUCUGGACUAAUGGGCUUCCCUGGUCUGCACACGCGCGCACGGCCUGUGUUUGUUGGUUGUUGAUGAAUGAUCUGUAGGUUGUUUUCCCAGGUAGCAUCGGGAGGUUGUUUCACUUUGUAAUAGGACGCUAUUUUCUUCACACCACAGAAGUAGCUUCCGAAUAAGGGCUUGUUCGUUUUGCUCUCAAUCCAUGUGGAUUGGGUGGGAUUGGAUGGGUUUCAAUUCCAAACAAGUCAAAAUCUUUCACAAUUUUUUUCAAUCCCAUCCAAUCCACAUGGGAUAGGAAUAACCGAACAAGCCCUAAUGUGGUUGCUUACCAUUCUCAGGGCUUCCGAGUAGGUUGAGUUGUUUUUAGCUAGAAGUCGUACGUGCUUGAUUUAUAUUAAUUAUAAGUCUACUAGUUCUCGUACUAAUACAUGUGUUUCCACAUUGAACCAUACGCUGGCAAGCCAGAAGUAAGCGCACAAAACGAAACCCCAUGCAUGGGGAUAUACAGAUGAUACUGAUCAAACGAUCUCUACCCUUAAUAUCCCCUUCAGCUAAUGUACAUACCAGUCACUCCUCAGCCCUCGCUCCCUUCAGACCAUGCAUGCAUUGCAACACGGCCCGAAUCUGUACCCUCCAGAUAGAUUAACAACACACACAAACUGAUCCAGAAAGGAACUUAAGGUUUCAAUGUUUGCCUUCCAGUCCAUAUCAGCUCACCAGCGAUGGAUCGUAUCCCUCCUCGACCUCGACUCAACCGGAGAAGGUCUGGAUGAUGGUGUUGUGCCAUGGGUCAGACAGGUGCUGCAGCAGGUUGUCGAAGGGCCCCUUGCCGGUGACGUUGUGCUGGAUCAGGAAGCCCAGGAACGCCAGCAUCGCCAGCCUCCCUGCACGCAGAACCGGAUGAUGAGAUCAUAACCGUCGUCAGAGAAGGAUCGGAAAGUGGCCGACGGUACUACUACUACUACUA
rnacentral:lncRNA from 1 species